rnacentral:rRNA from 1 species
UACAGAGGUCUCAAGCGUUGUUCGGAAUCACUGGGCGUAAAGGGUGCGUAGGUGGCGUGGUUAGUCAGAUGUGAAAGCCCGGGGCUCAACCUCGGAAUUGCAUCCGAUACUACCAUGCUAGAGUACUGAAGAGGUGACUAGAAUUCUAGGUGUAGCAGUGAAAUGCGUAGAUAUCUAGAGGAAUACCAACGGCGAAGGCAGGUCACUGGGCAGUUACUGACACUGAGGCACGAAGGCCAGGGGGAGCAAACGGG